rnacentral:rRNA from 1 species
UCGAUAAUCCACGCACACCUGACCUUCUCUUGAUAAUGCAGCAUGUGUACUGCCGUUGUAAGCAUACCUUUAAAAGAGUAGUAUGCUACUAUGACUAUAACUAACUCAUAUACAUCAGGUCAAAGUGCAGCUAAUGAGGAGGUGAUGAUGGGUUACAACCCUAAAAAAGAUCAUCAACUAAGAAAUAAAAAUUUCUUACGAAAGUGGACUUGGCUGUAAUUAACUUUAAGUUAAAACAAAUGAAUAAUCUCUAAGACAUGUACACAUCGCCCGUCACUCUAUCCUAAAGGUUAGAUAAGUCGUAACAAAGUAGGUGUAAUGGAAAUUGCACCUGUCGGAGUAUAGCAUAUAUAAUGCUUUUUACUUACACUAAAAAUAAAGUUAAUAAACUUGCCCCGCCCACAUAAUAUGACCUUAUAAACAAUAAGUGAUAGAAGCAACUAAACAUAAAAUACAUAAAAGUACAGAAAUGGAAAACCCAAUAAAUAAAAGUAAUUUUUAAAAGAUAUACCUUGUGCAUUAUGGUUUUACAAGAAAAUAAUUUAAAACCUAAAUCCCGAAUUCUAAAUGAGAUGUUAAACUGCUGUUAUGAACCCAUUAAUAACUGUGGAAAAAGUUUUAAAAGACAGUUUAACAGAGGCUACAUACCAUUCGCAUAAGAAUAUAGCUGGUUUUCAACAAACAUUAUACAUUAAAACAUAUAAUUAUAUUAUAGUGUAAAAUUACUGAGGAUAAGCCCAAUAAUUUAAUGCAAUAUACUAAAUUAUCUAUUAAUACAUAUAGGCCUAAAAUCAGCCAACUAAAAUACUUUACCGUAAUUAAAAAAGAUAAAUAUAAAUAAAUUGACUAUGCUAAAAAAAAGUUGAAGUAGUGGAUUAAUUAUAUAUCCCACUUACACUAUGUAAAAAUAAGUAUUUAUAUAUUAUAAACAAUAUUAUACAAGAAAUAACACCAAAUAAAUAAUAAAAAUUAAUUAAGGAACUCGGCAAAUACUUAUUUCGACUGUUUAAC